AGGUUGAGUUUACUUAUCUUUUACCUUUUAUGGGUCUAAUUCUUAGGUUAGGCCAUGCUUAACAGGAUAAUUGUCACCGAUUUGCUAUCACCGUUGAUUCUAUAGACAUCACUGGCUACAAAGACUAAUUAACUGUUCCCAUUUGGUGUGUUUGUGUGUUUCCUCCACCCAGCUUGGAGUUUACUACAGCUUCAACCCAAUAUUCAUGCUCGCCGAGCCAUUGAUGUUGGCAUCUGUGUUUUUCUUCUUUUUCAUGGGUUGUGUAGCUUACCUGCACGUUGACCUUUCCAUUCGGAAGUGAAAAAGUAACACAUAUUGGGGAUUCUUAAAAGCUUUAUCGGAGAGUAACUUCGACUUUGGCUGUGUGACCUAGGCUAGCGGCCAAGAGUUCUUCAGUGCAUCAACAUGAGAAGAAAUCUUGUGAUACAUUUAAAAUUAUGAAAUUUUGUUUGGGUUUCAAAUAGGAAAUUGUUGUUUGUACAUUGUUCCCCAUUUUAUUGAGACUAAAGUAGGUCCCUGCAAUCGAAAGGGGAAGGCAUCAGAUUGCUGGUAAAACAACUCAGGAGAUAGACUGAAUCUAAAAUCGGCUGUUGAGUUCCAUUAUCUAAGUCAGAGUGGCUGCUUGGCAAUUUAUGAUGUUGAUGAUGAUAGGAAAUUUCAAACGCUUAUGGAAGCCUUAGAUACUGUUCGACUUUGCAAAGAAGACCAAGACAAUGCGUUUGAAAUGCUUGCUGCAGUGUUGUGGCUGGGAAACAUAUCAUUUCAAGUAAUUGACAAUGAAAAUCAUGUAGAGGUGGUGGCUGAUGAAGGUGGAAUGGUGAGAGAUGCUUUGUGGAGAGUGCUUUUGUCGCUGAUAUUUUCAAUAUAAUUGGUGAGAAAUGCAAUUAACUUGGAGUUUUCAGACUACAAGAGGUUGAUAAACAAUAGCAUUGUGCUACAAAACAUCAGAUUUUGCAGAAAUGUUUUUGCUGCUUGUUGCUUUCGGCUUAAUAGCAAGCGACGAAUAUAGUGCACAGUGCACAACAGAAUUGGGAGACGCAAAAUCUGAAAAUUGCUGCUCUUACCAAAGAUAUGAUUUGCUUGCUCCCUAAGUCCGGAGCGAUUUAGGAAACACAGACGAUACUUUUUUUCAUUUUUUUG